AUAUUGCACAGUGGAGGGAACUCUGAUGCAGCAACGCCGCGUGAGUGAAGAAGGUUUUNGGAUCGNANAACCCUGUCAUUGGGGANAAAUAAAUGACGGUGCCCAAUUAGGAAGCCCCGGCUCACUACGUGCCAGCAGCCGCGGUAAUACGUAGGGGGCGAGCGUUGUCCGGAAUUACUGGGCGUAAAGGGUACGUAGGCGGCUAUAUAAGUCAGGUGUGAAAUACCAGUGCUUAACACUGGAAUUGCAUUUGAAACUGUGUAGCUUGAGUGCAGGAGAGGAAAGUGGAAUUCCUAGUGUAGCGGUGAAAUGCGUAGAUAUAGGAAGGAACACCAGUGGCGAAGGCGACUACCUGGACGACAACUGACGCUGAGGCACGAAAGCUAGGGGAGCAAACA
rnacentral:rRNA from 1 species